rnacentral:misc_RNA from 1 species
UGCCGAUGGAAGCAUUUGUUUGGAUAUAUUACAAAAUCAAUGGAGUCCUAUAUAUGACGCUGCAGCAAUUCUGACAUCUAUUCAGUCUCUCCUCUGCGACCCGAAUCCCAACUCCCCUGCAAACUCUGAGGCAGCUCGGAUGUUCACUGAGAACAAGCGCGACUACAACCGACGUGUUCGUGAGGUAGUUGAGCAGAGCUGGACGGCCGACUAAAGUCAUUUAAUUGCCUAUCCUGCAACAGGGAGAAUGCAGUAUAGGUCGUGACUGAAAUGUAUCUGUAAAAUGACACCUUAUAUGCAUAACAUAACUUAUAAGGUUUGAAUGUGUGAGGUUGUUACUGGUGCUGCUGUACAUUGUUUAGCUGCAUGGGUUGAUCUUCCAUUUCUUCGUGUAACCAUGAUUU